rnacentral:rRNA from 1 species
UACGAAAGGGGCUAGCGUUGUUCGGAAUUACUGGGCGUAAAGCGCACGUAGGCGGCUUUUCAAGUCGGGGGUGAAAUCCCGGAGCUCAACUCCGGAAUUGCCUCCGAAACUGGAUCGCUAGAGGCCGUGAGAGGUGAGUGGAAUUCCGAGUGUAGAGGUGAAAUUCGUAGAUAUUCGGAAGAACACCAGUGGCGAAGGCGACUCACUGGCGCGGUUCUGACGCUGAGGUGCGAAAGCGUGGGGAGCAAACAGG